rnacentral:lncRNA from 10 species
GGUCAGGAGAUUGAGACCAUCCUGGCUAACACGGUGAAACCCCGUCUCUACUAAAAAUACAAAAAAAUUAGCCGGGCGUGGCGGCGGGCGCCUGUAGUCCCAGCUACUUGGGAGGCUGAGGCAGGAGAAUGGUGCGAACCCGGGAGGCAGAUUUUGCAGAGAGCCGAGAUCGUGCCACUGCACUCCAGCCUGGGCGACAGAGCAAGACUCCGUCUCAAAACAAAAAACAAACAAACAAAUAUGGAGCAUUCUGAUAUGAAUAAGACACUUGCUCACUUCUCAAUUCCUUGGUGUCCAGGCUCCGGCACAAAUGAACCAUGUUCUUCGCCUAAGUCAUUUAUGGAACAUCUGCUUUCGGUUUAGCAUCAGGGGAAACAAAGCAAAGAAGAAUGACACUGAAGAAUCAAAAAAAAAAAUGAGCAUAAGACCCAUGAAGAUUACAGACACAUACACUCCUAAAAUUAAACAUUAAGCGGAAUAAAAAUAAUCCCAGAUUAUAUGGUCUGACAUGCCAGAAGAAAUAAAAACCUAAGGAAUUAGUUAAAAUCUGUGCAAAAAAAAAAAAAAAAAAAAAAAAAAAAAAACACUAUGACUAGAAAAAGCACUAUUACUAGUAAAAAUAAUGAUAAUGAAUUCUGGUGUCUAAAAUAUUGAACUAAAUAGUUAACAAUAGCAUAUACAUUAAGAGAGAGUGAUUGGGAUUUACAGGUUCUUAAUCCUGCUAAUGUCAGGAAUAAGGUAGAGAUAAUGUUAGCAGAGAUUUUGAUAAAUAUGUAUAUUAAAAUCUGUAGGGUAAUCACUGAAACCAAAAUGGUGGAUAUAAUUUAUCAAAUAAUAGCAAACAAAUCAAGUGAAAAAUUACCAAAUUAAGGCUGGGCACGGUGGCUUACACCUGUAAUCCCAACAAUUUGGGAGGCUGAGGUGGGUGGAUCACCUGAGGUCAGGAGUUUGGGACCCAGCCUGGCCAACAUGGUGAAACACCAUCUCUACUAAAAAUACAAAAAUUAGCCAGGGGUGGUGGUUGGUGCCUGUAAUCCCAUCUACUCAGGCAACUGAGGCAGGAGAAUCACUUGAACCCAGGAGGCAGAGGUUGCAGUGAGCCAAGAUGGCGCCUCUGCACUCCAGCCUGGGAGACAAGAGUGAAACUCUAUCUCAAAAAAAAAAAAAAUUAAUUAAUUAAUUCAUAAAAGGCUAGAGAGCAUGAAAAACAAAAGAGAAAAAAAUAGCAUUCAGCUAUCAGAAGUCUGGGUCUAAAGGAAAUAAAUCUGUUAAAUCCAGUAGUCAGACUCCUUAAACUUUGGCCUGCCUCUCCCAGAUGAGAUUAUACCAAAACCAACCUAAUUAUUACUAAAUUAUUUGAUCAAUUUGGAAUUGAAAGGAUGAGGAAGAAAACACAACUAAAAGGAAUUGUACACCCAACAUUAUACACUAAGUCAAUUCCAGUUUGGGAUAAAGAAAAAUCUAAAAAAUGAAAGUAUACAACUUUUAGAAGUCAUUUCAUGGGGAUAUAUUUAUAAUUUAAAGACAGCAAAAAAAAAAAAAAAAACAUUGACACAAAACAAACAAAAAAGAAAACCUCUACUAUAUGAGUAUAUAAAUUAAAAGUUAUUGUUUAUCAAGGACCAUAAAAAACAAAAACAAGAAUCUCAAAUUGUGAGAAAUUAUUUUCAGUGCAUAAAAAUGACAAGUGAAUAUUAUUCAGCAUGUAUAACAAAAGCUUCACAACUACUAAAGGAAAGAAAAAAUUAUAAAACACAAAGACUCAAACUGCAGUUAACAGAAGGGGAAAUUUGAAUUUUUAUCAA